rnacentral:rRNA from 1 species
UACGUAGGGGGCUAGCGUUGUCCGGAAUCAUUGGGCGUAAAGAGCGUGUAGGCGGUCCGGUAAGUCCGCUGUGAAAGUCGGGGGCUCAACCCUCGAAUGCCGGUGGAUACUGUCGGGCUAGAGUGCGGAAGAGGCGAGUGGAAUUCCUGGUGUGGCGGUGAAAUGCGCAGAUAUCGGGAGGAACACCAGUAGCGAAGGCGGCACUCUGGGCCGGUACUGACGCUGAGGAGCGAAAGCGUGGGGAGCGAACAGG